rnacentral:rRNA from 1 species
UACGUAGGGCGCAAGCGUUGUCCGGAAUUAUUGGGCGUAAAGAGCUCGUAGGCGGUUUGUCGCGUCUGCUGUGAAAACCUAAGGCUCAACCUUGGGCUUGCAGUGGGUACGGGCAGACUAGAGUGCGGCAGGGGAGACUGGAAUUCCUGGUGUAGCGGUGAAAUGCGCAGAUAUCAGGAGGAACACCGAUUGCGAAGGCAGCUCGCUGGGACGUUACUG